AAAGGAGGGAUUGUACUGAGGCCCACGCCGAAUGGCACAAACAAGCAGAGCUAUUAAUGCCGCAUUCAGUGGGCCUGGCAAGAGCUACGCACCUCCCGCAAGCAGUCGCGAUGGCUUGAUAAGAAGGAAUAGACACACAUGCAGCAAAGCCCAGAAGCGCUAUUCCACCCUUCCGGAACGAUCGGCCUCCUGUUGCCAACAGAGCGGAGGCCCAGCAAGGGGCCAAGUGCACUAUUCAAAAGGCUUCAUCUGUGCUUCACAGGAAGAGAACUUAAUACCCUUCACCGGGCACACAAGAGAGCUGAACAACAGCACGGGAAGAGCGAGUGAAACUCUAAUCAGGUAUUUGAAGGAAAUGCUUUCAAUGCAGAAUCUGUAACCUCAGUUUGGUGACCGUGGUCCACCUUCGGGGAGAAUAAACGGUGUAGGUUUUGUCGAGGCUCAGCUGUGUGGGCUGCGAUCCUUGAAAUUGUCUGUUACUUGGCAACACAAUUGGCAAGCGAAGCAUCUGCAAGUAAACUGUUACGUCUACCGGAAAUUACUGUCCUCACAAUAACUAAUGGAAAGCUGUGGAGGGAAAUCUGUCAGAAACUACUCCGUCACAAUCACUUCCUCGGCAAGAUCAACUUUCACUGCAAAACGUACACGGUGUACAUACGGCCCUAAAGAAGUUGAGAUAUCAUGAUGACAGCACCACAGCUGGAAGGUUACAUAUAUAAUAUUGUUAUACAUACACACACACGAAAAAAAAAAGUAGCUUGAAAGUUCUGGACUCUGUUGACGGUCUUCAAAGGAUCCACAGAAGACAGACAGACAUACAAGUUUCGUGGCGACUAAAUUUAUCAUUGAAUUUGCCGCAAACUAUAUCAAGGUACUGUAUAUUGUUACAUAUGAAACUUCAUAGUGUCCACCUUUAAUUGUUCAGUGAAUUUUUGCAGGCAAAAUCCAGUCAUUCCAAAAGGAAUCCAUGCAAUUUCCCCACGUAUUCCAAGUUGGACUCAUGGAUUUUGCAAUGUAAGCCAACAUAAAGCUGCUCGUUUGAAAGGGAAUCCUGCGAUCCAUACAUCACUAUAGACAAGACCAUUUUUGCCUAUGGAUUUUUUGACACAAUUACACUAAUGUAGCCACACAUUUACACCAUAGCACAAGGCCGUGAAGCUAUAUUGGCUUCAAGCUUCAUAUAAUUAGCAGUAAGGUCAGAUCUAAGAGAAGCUGAAUAAUAUUCAGAAAAACCUACUGAAAGCCUCUUUACUCAAGAUCCUUUGAAAACAAACAGCAAAGAGGCCUUUUCAUGAGAUCUUUCAGUUCCCUGCUAUUCCUCUCUGAUGUGAGCUAACUGCUCUGGCAAUAUCCCACGAGUGCUUUCAAGACUCUUGCUCAGGAAAGAACGUAGAUAUUUGGGAUUCUGAAUAGUGUGAAUCUACUUUCACAUGAAGCUCUUGUGUAUUUUGAUGUUUCAGCACAAGGCUCAAUAUAAUAGGUGUAGAAUCAAUUCACAUCGAUUAAAAAAUUUAGACAAAAAAAAAAAAAAAAACAAUUUUCUAAAGUGUUACACUUAUUUAACUUUUCAGUACUAUAAGCUUUUGACACUUUAAAGAGUUAUUAUAAGUUACAAUAAGACUUGAAAAAGGACUCAUGUGGUGCUCAAACUGAUGGAAACACAGCCGAGCGCAGAUGUAUGCCAUCCCAAAUUCAGUUCUCUUUCACAGCUUAUUGCGCUUGCAUGGUAAAAUACACCCACAAUUAUGCUAAACUGCAAACUGUGUGGAGUAUUCACAUAAAAACAAUGCUAACACUUUAGUAUAGGGAACACAAACUACGACUUUUCCCUCAAUAAACUCCUAAUUUACUGCUUAUUAAUAGUUAGUAAGGUAGUGGUUAAGUUGAAAUUGUGCGCAAUUGGGUAGGAUUAAGAAUGUAGAAUAAGGUCAUGCAGAAUAAGGCAUUAAUAUGUGCUUAAUUAGUACUAAUAAAUAGCCAAUAUUCUAGUAAUAUGCAUGAUAAUAAGCAAUAAGCUAGGACAAAAAUGGAUGCGUAACUGUAUUAGAUCAGUGCAUUCAUUUUUAAAGGGACAGCAGCCUCAUAAAUAGCUGUUGCCAUCUGUUCCAUUAAUGUCAAUUAAAAAAAAAAAAAAAAAAAAAAAAAAAAAAAAAAUCACUAACUGCUUGACCAAAUCACUUCUGUAUCUUUAAUAUGAACCAAUUUAUAUUUCAUUCAUUAAGUGAAGACUAUACAGUAUUUUAUUUUUACAUUUGAUUAGUAGAAAUACUACGUUAAAUAAACCCAGUCUACUGUACCUGUUCUAUUGUAUUUGUUCUAUUGUUUGUAAUGCGCUUUGUUCCUAUUUUAAAUAUCAAAAAUGAAAUAAAACUGCCUGCCUUGCUUUAUUACAGAAGACUCAGUGAUGUGUGUAAUGAUUGCAGUCAGCAUAAAUGCCAUUUGUUUUAUAAUAUUGGGUUGACUAAAAUGGAAAGAAAAACAAAAUUUCAAGGUUCACAUUUAAUUUGGUGGGAUUUUUUUCUUCAAGACCUAUUAAACUGUCUACCACAGUGAUCCUUGGGAACCUAUGUUUCUUGGGAAUAUCCCGGACGAGCCCCCAGCUAAGGUAAGAAAACAGUAAAUUAGAAUUAAAUCUAAACAUAUCGAAUCGAAAUUUGAUUCAAAAUCGAGAAUCAAUGUUUGGUCAAAUCUUGACCUCAAGAAUCGAAUUUGAAUCAUAUCAUGAGGUACACACCUACAAUAUAAGUAAUGUGCUAACUUAUAGUACUGCGACAGUAACAGCCUUAGUAUUUAAGAAGCAAUCUUUGUGCCAUUAAACUGGAUGUGAAGAUCUGCGAGAUCGUUUUCAACAUUUUAAAAAAUGAUUAAUCGAAAAAGAUGUUUUUGCCCGGCCCUAAUCUUCACAUUGAAACCGUACGCAGGAUGAACAAGCAACAAUGUAGUAGGCAGUCUGCUCCACACUUCACAGCAGUGAUGUGAACUCUACAAGACUCACUUUAGUCACAGAUGCAGGCCAAUAAAACUAGGGACAUUUUCUCAUAAUUGCAUUUCAUAGCCGUGCGGCAAAACCUCACGAAUCCACCACAGAUCUUGGCAGGAAGAUUUCUCUCUUAUUUCUCCUUUAAGUCACUGGACCCUCGCCCACAAAGAUACAGGAAACAUCUGGGAGAAAUCAAGGCAAGGAAGGCAGAACCACAGGAUACAAACAGUCAGUACUGUGGAAAUGGUGCUUCAUCUGAUAGAGCCGUCCCAUACACGCCACUCAAUAUCAGCCAUAUUUCUAGCAUUCUUAUAACACCACAAGAGAACAAAUCAUUAGAAAUGUGCUUUAAAACAUUACCAAAAGAGCUUUAUUAAUAGCGUGAGCUGUUUAACUGGUGUUACAUUUAUAUAAUGAAUUCAUUUACUUCCCAUUUGUAAAUCUUGCAUGUUAAAUGCGGUUACUGAAGCAACUAAAACAUUUUGGCACAUUGAUUAUUUUUGGCUCCGAUUUUAAAAGGAGCAUCCAAAAAGGUAAAUGGCAGUUUCAGAGUUUGGACCUGUACCACACUGUGUGUAAUCAGUUUUAAACCGUUUGCUUAGACAAAUUAUAAUCCAAACACAAAUGAGCCACUCAUGUGUUUGCUUACAUAUAAAAGUUAGCAUAAAAACAUUAUUUUAUAAACCCUAACCACACUGGCACUGCCUUUUCAUGACUCUCCAUUUGGCUGGCUAUGGAUGCAUGAGAAAGACACAGUCUCCAAGUUCCCAGCAGGAACACACAGGCUGCCGUGGAUUAUUCCCAGCUCCAGGAGAACCUUUGAAAUCAGAUGUCUGUCCUUACUUGCUUCUUACAGGGAGAUUUAGGUCAAAUAUUGAAAGUAUGGACUGCUAAUGAUAACCUUCUGUUGCAUUUAUGAUCUACACUACUUAAAGAAGCCAUAUUAUGCCCUUUUACAAAGUCUAGAGCAGGUUUUCCUGCUUGAAUGUUGAUUAUUUUCCUCAUAUUCUCCAUUGUUGCAGCUCCUCUCUUCCCAGUCUGUCAGUAACGCUCUGUUUAGUUCCUGUCUCUAUGAAGCCCCUCCUUCUGAAAAGCACAAUGUGCUCUGAUUGGUUGGCUGGAGCAGUGUGUUGUGAUUGGUGGGAAAUGUCCCGCCCCUUACCAUAACCGCCAGUUUCAACACACUACUAACCAACUCAACCAGGCCCCGCCCCUUUAUUCUGCGUAUGAAUUAUUUAAAUGAGGAAUACUGUGAAGAAAACUCAAGAUGUAGGCGUUUCAGAAACACUGACACUGAUAUAGAGAAGAACUGGAACUUUGCAGAGCUUUUUCAUGAUCAAACAGCAACAUUACACACUAAAGACAGUUUUAAAGAUGGCACUUUCAGUCAUUUGGUACACCAGAGGAACUCUUAUUUUGUUGUGGACGUCAACAGGGACCAGGGCAGGAACAGUGUGUCUUAUUCAGCAGUGGGGCGUCUCCAGUGGGACAGGCCGGAGCAAGCUUCCAGAACGCAGUGGGCUGACCGGAUAAGAGGCCCUUUGUUUUCAUGGAAGCAGUGAAAAUGAGAAAAUGGCCCCCACCCUGACACCGAGCCCACUCGACGACAAUAUGUCUCCCGGAGUUUCCAGUUUUAUUAGCCCUACGAGGUUUCAUUGGCAGCAUUGAGGGAGCUGUAUAUGAAGAGUCUUAUCUCUUUGCUUUAAACUGUUUAGUCUGGCACGGACAGAGAAGACCAGACUGAAAUCAUGAAAAGGUAAAAAAAACAA